rnacentral:ncRNA from 1 species
GGGCCCAGGCGGGCGGUUGGCGGAUCUGAAUGGACCGCUGCCGUUCGGGUUGGUUUCCCGACCGUCGCACUUCUCGCAGGCGCGCGCCAACGUCGGUUAGGGCUGGAUCUCAAAGGCGGUGGAAAGGUAGGUUUGGACUCUCGGGCCCGAACUGUUACAGUCCUCCGUUUGUCAUGGCCCGGACCUGACCGAGGAGCUUGCGGUGCAUGCCGUUCGGCUAGGGUCCCGUCUUCCCGGUCGGUCGUCGAAUGCGGUGGACUGCGUGCAGUGCGCCGCGACUGCUGCCGGUCGCGAGGGCGGUGAUUUCGUACUAUGCACCCACGACGUUGGCGGUCAUAUGGCCUCAUCCGACCCGUCUUGAAACACGGACCAAGGAGUCUAACAUGUGUGCGAGUCUUUGAGUGAUCGAAACUCCGAGGCGUAAUGAAAGUGAAGGCGACUCCGGUCGCUGAGGUGAGAGCCUUUUACAAAAAAAGGCGCAUCAUUGACCGACCUAUUCUACUCUUAGAAAGGUUUGAGUAAGAGCGCAUCUGUUGGUACCCGAAAGAUGGUGAACUAUGCCUGAAUAGGGUGAAGCCAGAGGAAACUCUGGUGGAGGCUCGUAGCGAUUCUGACGUGCAAAUCGAUCGUCAAAUUUGGGUAUAGGGGCGAAAGACUAAUCGAACUGUCUAGUAGCUGGUUCCCUCCGAAGUUUCCCUCAGGAUAGCUGGAACUUACGGCAGUUUUAUCAGAUAAAGCGAAUGAUUACAGGUCUUAGGGUUAAAACAACCUUAACCUAUUCUCAAACUUUAAAUUGGUAAGAAGUCCGACUUGCUUAAUUGAAGCCGGACAGUGAAUGCGAGUUCCUAGUGGGCCAUUUU